rnacentral:sRNA from 1 species
AUGUUAAUAUAUAUUAAAUAAUUAAACAGAAACUUCACUCCCUUAUAAUAAAUUGAAUAAUAAUCGUAAAAAUAUACGGUUUGUAUAUUGGAUAUAAUAAUUAGCCAAUUUUCCAUAACAAUUUAAUUUUCAUUUUUAAUAUGCAAAUUGACCGAAUUAAAAUAAAAAUCGGAAAAAUUCGUUAAUUAGGAUAUAAAUUUUGUUAAAAUAUUAAAUUUCCGAUUUUAUUUUAUUAUUAUUUUAUUUUUAUAUAAAAUUUAAAUAUUUUUAUAUUUAAAGGGUAAUAUUGGUGUAAAUUUUAUAUGUAUUAUUUAAAUACCAGUAUUACGUAAUAUAAUAUAUUAAAAAACCGAAAAAGCAAAACAAAUAAAAAUAAUCCGAAAUUUGCAAUCGAAACGGGUUUGCAUUUUAACCAAUUUUUAUAAUAGGUAAACCAAAAUUUUACAAAUUGGACGUUAAAUAAAAACAAACUUCCAUAUUAAGUCCGUUUUGCAAAAACGCCAAAAUUGGUUAUUUUAUUAAAAAAAAUAUAAUAUUUGCAAUUAUUUUUAUUUUUAUCUUUUAUUUUCUUUAAUUAUUAACCCCCCCAUUAUUAUAAACCAAACCCUAUAGAAAUA